rnacentral:rRNA from 1 species
UACGUAGGGGGCAAGCGUUGUCCGGAAUCAUUGGGCGUAAAGCGCGCGUAGGCGGCCCGGUAAGUCCGCUGUGAAAGUCAAAGGCUCAACCUUUGAAUGUCAGCGGAUACUGCCGGGCUAGAGUCCGGAAGAGGCGAGUGGAACUCCUGGUGUAGCGGUGGAAUGCGCAGAUAUCAGGAAGAACACCAACGGCGAAGGCAGCUCGCUGGGACGGAACUGACGCUGAGGAGCGAAAGCGUGGGGAGCAAACAGG